AUUGAACGCUGGCGGCAUGCCUUACACAUGCAAGUCGAACGGCAGCACGGGAGCAAUCCUGGUGGCGAGUGGCGAACGGGUGAGUAAUACAUCGGAACGUGCCCAAUCGUGGGGGAUAACGCAGCGAAAGCUGUGCUAAUACCGCAUGAGAUCUACGGAUGAAAGCAGGGGACCGCAAGGCCUUGCGCGAAUGGAGCGGCCGAUGGCAGAUUAGGUAGUUGGUGAGGUAAAGGCUCACCAAGCCUGCGAUCUGUAGCUGGUCUGAGAGGACGACCAGCCACACUGGGACUGAGACACGGCCCAGACUCCUACGGGAGGCAGCAGUGGGGAAUUUUGGACAAUGGGCGCAAGCCUGAUCCAGCCAUGCCGCGUGCAGGAUGAAGGCCUUCGGGUUGUAAACUGCUUUUGUACGGAACGAAAAGGCUUUCUCUAAUAAAGGGGGCUCAUGACGGUACCGUAAGAAUAAGCACCGGCUAACUACGUGCCAGCAGCCGCGGUAAUACGUAGGGUGCAAGCGUUAAUCGGAAUUACUGGGCGUAAAGCGUGCGCAGGCGGUUAUGUAAGACAGGUGUGAAAUCCCCGGGCUUAACCUGGGAAUGGCAUUUGUGACUGCAUAGCUAGAGUGUGUCAGAGGGGGGUAGAAUUCCACGUGUAGCAGUGAAAUGCGUAGAGAUGUGGAGGAGUACCGAUGGCGAAAGCAGCCCCCUGGGAUAACACUGACGCUCAUGCACGAAAGCGUGGGGAGCAAACAGGAUUAGAUACCCUGGUAGUCCACGCCCUAACGAUGUCUACUAGUUGUCGGGUCUUAAUUGACUUGGUAACGCAGCUACGCGUGAAGUAGACCGCCUGGGGAGNACGGUCGC
rnacentral:rRNA from 1 species